rnacentral:rRNA from 1 species
UACGUAGGGAGCAAGCGUUGUCCGGAAUUACUGGGCGUAAAGGGUGCGUAGGCGGCUUGGCAAGUCAGAUGUGAAAUCCCCGGGCUUAACUCGGGGGGUGCAUUUGAAACUGCUGAGCUUGAGUGCAGGAGAGGAAAGCGGAAUUCCUAGUGUAGCGGUGAAAUGCGUAGAUAUUAGGAGGAACACCAGUGGCGAAGGCGGCUUUCUGGACUGUAACUGACGCUGAGGCACGAAAGCGUGGGGAGCAAACAGGAUUAGAUACCCUGGUAGUCCACGCUGUAAACGAUGGAUACUAGGUGUGGGGGACAUACAACCUCCGUGCCGGAGCAAACGCAAUAAGUAUCCCGCCUGGGGAGUACGGUCGCAAGACUGAA